rnacentral:rRNA from 1 species
GACGAACGCUGGCGGCGUGCUUAACACAUGCAAGUCGAACGGAAAGGCCCUGCUUGCAGGGUACUCGAGUGGCGAACGGGUGAGUAACACGUGGGUGAUCUGCCCUGCACUUCGGGAUAAGCCUGGGAAACUGGGUCUAAUACCGGAUAGGAGCCAUUUUUAGUGUGAUGGUUGGAAAGUUUUUUCGGUGUAGGAUGAGCUCGCGGCCUAUCAGCUUGUUGGUGGGGUAAUGGCCUACCAAGGCGGCGACGGGUAGCCGGCCUGAGAGGGUGGACGGCCACAUUGGGACUGAGAUACGGCCCAGACUCCUACGGGAGGCAGCAGUGGGGAAUAUCGCACAAUGGGCGCAAGCCUGAUGCAGCGACGCCGCGUGGGGGAUGACGGCCUUCGGGUUGUAAACUCCUUUCGCUAGGGACGAAGCUUUUGUGACGGUACCUAGAUAAGAAGCACCGGCUAACUACGUG